UUUUGUGGAGAGUUUGGUCUUGGCUGAGGACGAACGCUGGCGGCGUGCCUAAUACAUGCAAGUCGAGCGCUGGAAGCUAAUUUCAUCCCUUCGGGAUGAAAUUAGUGGAAAGAGCGUCGGACGGGUGAGUAACACGUGGGCAACCUACCUAUUAGACUGGGAUAACUCGCGGAAACGUGAGCUAAUACCGUAUAAUACUUUUUAUUGCAUAAUAAGAAGUUUGAAAGGCGGCGUAAGCUGUCACUUAUAGAUGGGCCCGCGGCGCAUUAGCUAGUUGGUGAGGUAAAGGCUCACCAAGGCAACGAUGCGUAGCCGACCUGAGAGGGUGAUCGGCCACACUGGG
rnacentral:rRNA from 1 species